rnacentral:lncRNA from 1 species
GGGAUUUAGGAUUCCUUCCUUAGCCUUACCUUUUAGGAAAGAUACCCCAGCCCCUUGAUCAUUUUGGUUGCCCAUUUCUGCACCUUUCCAGUUCUAGAAUAUCCUUUUUGAGAUGUUGCAACCCGGACCAUACACAGCAUUCCAAAUGCAACUACACUACAUAAAGUCAAUGCCAAUAAAGGUGUUACAAUACUGGCUAUUUUAUUUUCAAUCUUCCCCCCUUUUUCACCACUACUAGAAAUAAGCUGAUAUUUUCAUUUUUUUUCUUGCCACCACAACUUUAGGAUUCAUCUCCUGGCUACCCGUGGCCAGUUCAGGCUCCCUCAAUAGAAAUGCAAAAUUUGGAUGUUUUGCAUUACUUUCUUUGCUAGGAUGUGCAUUACUUAAUUUAAACCUCAUUUGCUGCUUUAUUGCCCAUUCACCCAUUGAAGAGAGUUUUUGUUUUUUUGCAAGCCUCUUGGAUUUUCAUUAUCCUGAAUAAUCUGGUGUCAUCUCUAAACUUGACUAUCUCACUUCUCACCACCGACUCCAGAUCAUUUAUAAAUAAGUAAGCAGUACUAUUCCCAAGAUAGACCUGUGGAAAGGACUCCACUUACAUCGUGAAGAUUGUUCAUUUAUCCCUACUCUCUACUUCCUCUUCUUUAACCAGUUGCUGAUUUUAAAGAGCCACAUGUCCCCUUUUCUGUCUAGACUGGCCCUUUGCUACUUCAGCGAAAGUAAGACCAAUGUAAGUAAUGGCUUUCCUCUAACUAGGGCUGAGAAAACAAUGUCAAAGUUUCUCAUAAAUAUUUUUGAUCCUGCUGAACAAUAUCUUGCACUUUGAUACUCUUCAGUACUCCUUUUGGAUAGAAUUGACUGUUUAUGUGAACUGCCCAUUUCUUAUCAGUUUCUCUGUCUCUCAACUUCAUGCGCUGUCGGUUGUGUUACCACAUAGCCAAAUAUGAUUAGUAGGACAUCAUUCAUUGCAUUUUCCCUUCCUGAGAGGUAUCUAAUCAAGGAAGCAUUGGACUGAUCUGCCCUUGCUUUCCAUUGUUCUCAUUGAGCAGUAUUACCAUGUAACCAAAUGUAGCCAUGUCACCAAUCCUUUUAUUGUAUUUAAUAUUUACUUUUGCACUUGUGUCCCAUCUUUUUCCUCCUAAGAUCUCAAGGUGGCAUACAGGGUUCUUCCCUCUCUCCUCGUGUAAUCCCCCACAACAUCCCUCCAAGGUAGGUUAGGCUGAGAGGCAGUGAAUGGUGUAAGGCCAACCAGUGAGCUUCACAUGGCUGAGUGGGGAUUUCAACUCUUGCCUUUGUGGUCCUUGUCCAACACUCUAACCACUAUACCACACUGGCUCUCAAGGUGAAAAUUACAUGAAAUGCAGCAGCAGUCUGGUGAAACAAUUGGCAUCAACAAGAAUGGUAAAAAGCGAAUGUCAGCCCAUCUAAGAGAGUGGGGGGGGGGGGUGGCUCAGCGGCAUUUCUGUGUCUCCUGAACACCAGAGUGGAGAAUAUUCAGCACAGCUCUAGUUGGAAAUAUGCUGCCCUUUCUAGUUUCUCUUCAGCAUUUUCUGCAGCAACUGAGGCUGUUCAAGCUCUGAGCCUGUCACCUAGCAGCCUGCUUCUUUGCUUAGGUCCACACAGAUGCAUGCACACAGCCACCCGCCGCCACAUGCCAAAACCUAAUAAUUCUGAGUUCAGGGUCAGUGAAUAACACCCUGUUCUAAAUGUUGGAAUUGGGUGUUAAUGAGAAAAAGCAUUCAACUCCAGCAGAGUCCUGGCCUGUAAUUAAUGACCCAAUUGGUUUUGCUUGGUACCCCAGGCAGAAGGCAGGGUUCCUGUAUGGCAAUUGCAAGCGACUGACCCUGAAGGGCCACUAGCAAAAUUAUACAGUAAUAAUUCGUAAAGGCUCUAGUUGAGAUGCAGGUUAAUAAUGGCAAUUAAUAAAGUCCUUCCGCUGACCCUAAUUCUCGGAGGUGGAGGGCAGUGUACCUGAUGCCUGGAAGCAAAAGUCCUGGCCUUGUGGUUAAGUAACUUUAGACUUCAGACUAAAUCAGUUUACAGGCCUUCUGUUUAGAUGGUAAAGAGUAUUAUUUCACUUACUUCAACAUGUGGUGAGCCAACUAAUGUGAUGGGGAAAAAGAGGGAGGGCAUCACCAAAAAGAAAAAGGAGAAACACUGAUUUGCACAAAGUGCAUACAUUUCCCCCACAAGAAACAGUGAUGGCCACCAACUUGGAUGGCGUUAAUGGUAAAAGCUAAAGGUACCCCUGCCCGUACGGGCCAGUCUUGACAGACUCUAGGGUUGUGCGCUCAUCUCACUCUAUAGGCCGGGAGCCAGCGCUGUCCGCAGACACUUCCGGGUCACGUGGCCAGCAUGACAAGCUGCAUCUGGCGAGCCAGCGCAGCACACGGAAUGCCGUUUACCUUCCCGCUGGUAAGCGGUCCCUAUUUAUCUACUUGCACUUAAGGGUGCUUUCGAACUGCUAGGUUGGCAGGCGCUGGGACCGAAUGACGGGAGCACACCCCGCCGCGGGGAUUUGAACCGCUGACCAUGCGAUCGGCAAGUCCUAGGCGCUGAGGUUUAACCCACAGCGCCACCCGCGUUAAUGGAGGCUUAGACAAAUUCAUGGAGGAAAAGGCUAUCAGUGGCUACCAACUCUGAUGUCCAUAUUGUUAAGUAUAAUUAUUUAAUUGAUACUGAAAUGGAAAAUGGCUAUGUGUAUUACUGAAGGCUUUAACAUGGUUUUUUUCAUGGGGCUAUACUGCAGCCAAGAAUAGGACUCAGAGUUGAUAAUUAACUAUUGUUGUUCUCUAGUAGCUAACAUGUGAGUGUUUAACCUUAGAUCAGGCGACAAAGGUAUUUGGUUGCAAAUCUACAUUUUGAAAGGAGGUUGCCUUUAGUCUUUUUCUCAGGCUUUGUUAAAGUAAGAUGAGCUUAUAGUUUAAGCGGCUGGAAUGCAGGCAAUGGAGCCUGUGUGUGUGUGUGUGUGAGAGAGAGAGAGAGAGAGAGAGAGAGAGAGAGCUCUGAUUAUGAGUUUAUUUUAUUUUUAAGAAGAUGUGUUGGACUUGCAUAAUAUUACAUGGAAUUAUUUGGAUGUAUCUUUGAUGUUUUUGUUCUGUUUUGAGGAAAGUUCUGCAAGUAAAGUUUUGAACAACCUAAUGGGUCUGGACAAUGCUUCAUCCCCAAAGGAGUCAGUUUUUAUGCAUCCAGUCACUUCAGAAUGUGCAAUAUUAAUAUCUGCAAUAUAUAUUUUGCUUCCGCUGCUUUCAGUAGUAUGUUUCUGAAUACCAGUUGCUGGAAACCAUAGGAGUGGAGAGUGCAGUUGUGCUCAGGUCCUGCUUAUGGACUUCCCACCAGCAUCUAGUUGGUCACUGUGAGAACAAGAUGCUGGCUUAGAUGGGACAUUGGCUUGAUCCAUCAGCCUCUUCUUAUGUGCAUCUGCUAAUUUAUAUGUACAGGUGCAAAAUUACAAAGAAGUUAUAAUCUGAAUUGAUUUUUUAAAAAGAAAUUGAUUUUUUUAAUGAGAUUUUAAGAAAUAAACAAAUAAGUAAAUAUCAUACACAUCACCAUAGAUUAUGACCAGGUGACCUUAUGUGUUUACUCAGUUUGCUGUUCAGGAGCUAACUGUUGAUGGGUAACUUUGGAGCCCCUGUUCUCCUGUCAUAUGAUUCUUCAUCUUUAGAUUGGACUUGAGUGGGACAGCCUUUCAAAUAGGCAACUCCUACAAAUAGAAGUCUGUUCUCUGCAAAGCAGGACACACAAGGCCAUCUUGCCACAGUCUCUGAUGGGACUUAGCUUUGAUGAAUAGGACAGUAUGUGUUUAGCUAGAGCAUUUAAACCCUUAGGAAAGGGCUUAGUGGCAGAACAUCUGUCUUGCCUGCAGAAAAUCCAAAGCUCAAUCUCCAGUAUCUCAGGCCUGGACUGAGAGAAACUUCUUGCCUGAAACCCUAGAGAGCUGCUGCCUGUCAGUUUAGACAAUACUGAGCUAGAUGGACCAGAGGAUCUGACUGAGUAUAAGGCAACUUCCUAUGUUCCCUUGCUGUGUUCUAUGUUCCCAUCUUCAGUCUUGGAAGUGCAACAAACAGACCAGACAAGCAUCAGAGAGUCAUAGUCACCUGUUAAAGCUGAACAACAUGACUGCAGCUUUCCUCAGCAUGGAGCUACACUGAUAGGAAAGAGCUUUACCUGUUAAAUUGCUGCCCACCCCAUAGCUAUGAGAAAUCCAGUAGUUCAAUAAAAAAGAGGCAAUUCUAUUGAUGAGGCUGCAGUAUUUCUAUAAUUUGUUGCACUCUAUGGUUUGUUCUGCGUCUUCAGGAAUGUAAAGGGACUGUAACUCAGUGGAGGCAGGUGUAAACAGCUGCCAGGUAAAUCAAUAAAAUUCAGAUGGCAUGAAUUAAACUAAUUACAAUUGAGCCACUAUUGAUUUUUCUACACACUCAGGACAAGGAUAUAUUC